UAGGUGUGUGUUCCAGGUAAAUCCGGUUCACUUUAACACUGAGGCGUGAUGACGAGGCACUACGGUGCUGAAGUAACAAAUGCCCUGCUUCCAGGAAAAGCCUCUAAGCAUCAGGUAACAUCAAAUCGUACCCCAAACCGACACAGGUGGUCAGGUAGAGAAUACCAAGGCGCUUGAGAGAACUCGGGUGAAGGAACUAGGCAAAAUGGUGCCGUAACUUCGGGAGAAGGCACGCUGACACGUAGGUGAAGUGAUUUACUCACGGAGCUGAAGUCAGUCGAAGAUACCAGCUGGCUGCAACUGUUUAUUAAAAACACAGCACUGUGCAAACACGAAAGUGGACGUAUACGGUGUGACGCCUGCCCGGUGCCGGAAGGUUAAUUGAUGGGGUCAGCGCAAGCGAAGCUCCUGAUCGAAGCCCCGGUAAACGGCGGCCGUAACUAUAACGGUCCUAAGGUAGCGAAAUUCCUUGUCGGGUAAGUUCCGACCUGCACGAAUGGCGUAAUGAUGGCCAGGCUGUCUCCACCCGAGACUCAGUGAAAUUGAACUCGCUGUGAAGAUGCAGUGUACCCGCGGCAAGACGGAAAGACCCCGUGAACCUUUACUAUAGCUUGACACUGAACAUUGAGCCUUGAUGUGUAGGAUAGGUGGGAGGCUUUGAAGUGUGGACGCCAGUCUGCAUGGAGCCGACCUUGAAAUACCACCCUUUAAUGUUUGAUGUUCUAACGUGGACCCGUUACCCGGGUUGCGGACAGUGUCUGGUGGGUAGUUUGACUGGGGCGGUCUCCUCCUAAAGAGUAACGGAGGAGCACGAAGGUUGGCUAAUCCUGGUCGGACAUCAGGAGGUUAGUGCAAUGGCAUAAGCCAGCUUGACUGCGAGCGUGACGGCGCGAGCAGGUGCGAAAGCAGGUCAUAGUGAUCCGGUGGUUCUGAAUGGAAGGGCCAUCGCUCAACGGAUAAAAGGUACUCCGGGGAUAACAGGCUGAUACCGCCCAAGAGUUCAUAUCGACGGCGGUGUUUGGCACCUCGAUGUCGGCUCAUCACAUCCUGGGGCUGAAGCAGGUCCCAAGGGUAUGGCUGUUCGCCAUUUAAAGUGGUACGCGAGCUGGGUUUAGAACGUCGUGAGACAGUUCGGUCCCUAUCUGCCGUGGGCGCUGGAGAACUGAGGGGGGCUGCUCCUAGUACGAGAGGACCGGAGUGGACGCAUCACUGGUGUUCGGGUUGUCAUGCCAAUGGCACUGCCCGGUAGCUAAAUGCGGAAGAGAUAAGUGCUGAAAGCAUCUAAGCACGAAACUUGCCCCGAGAUGAGUUCUCCCUGAGACUUAGAGUCUCCUGAAGGAACGUUGAAGACGACGACGUUGAUAGGCCGGGUGUGUAAGCGCAGCGAUGCGUUGAGCUAACCGGUACUAAUGAACCGUGAGGCUUAACC
rnacentral:rRNA from 1 species